rnacentral:rRNA from 1 species
UCAGUCGACUCCUACGGGGAGGCAGGCAGUGGGGGAAUAUUGCACAAUGGGCGCAAGCCUGAUGCAGCCAUGCCGCGUGUGUGAAGAAGGCCUUCGGGUUGUUAAAGCACUUUCAGUCGUGAGGAAGGUAGUGUAGUUAAUAGCUGCAUUAUUUGACGUUUAGCGACAGAAGAAGCACCGGCUAACUCCGUGCCAGCAGCCGCGGUAAGUACGGAGGGUGCGAGCGUUAAUCGGAAAUUACUGGGCGUAAAGCGCAUGCAGGUGGUUUGUUAAGUCAGAUGUGAAAGCCCGGGGCGUCAACCUCGGAAUAGCAUUUGAAACUGGCAGACUAGAGUACUGUAGAGGGGGGUAGGAAUUUCAGGUGUAGCGGUGAAAUGCGUAGAGAUCUGAAGGAAUACCGGUGGCGAAGGCGGCCCCCUGGACAGAUACUGACACUCAGAUGCGAAAGCGUGGGGAGCAAACAGGAUUAGAUACCCUGGUAG